UAGGGAAUCUUCCGCAAUGGGCGAAAGCCUGACGGAGCAACGCCGCGUGAGUGAUGAAGGUCUUCGGAUCGUAAAACUCUGUUAUUAGGGAAGAACAAAUGUGUAAGUAACUAUGCACGUCUUGACGGUACCUAAUCAGAAAGCCACGGCUAACUACGUGCCAGCAGCCGCGGUAAUACGUAGGUGGCAAGCGUUAUCCGGAAUUAUUGGGCGUAAAGCGCGCGUAGGCGGUUUUUUAAGUCUGAUGUGAAAGCCCACGGCUCAACCGUGGAGGGUCAUUGGAAACUGGAAGACUUGAGUGCAGAAGAGGAAAGUGGAAUUCCAUGUGUAGCGGUGAAAUGCGCAGGGAUAUGGAGGAACACCAGUGGCGAAGGCGACUUUCUGGUCUGUAACUGACGCUGAUGUGCGAAAGCGUGGGGAUCAAACAGG
rnacentral:rRNA from 1 species